rnacentral:rRNA from 1 species
GGCCGCGGGAAUUCGAUUCAGGCCUAACACAUGCAAGUCGAGCGGUAACAGGAGAAGCUUGCUUCUCGCUGACGAGCGGCGGACGGGUGAGUAAUACUUAGGAAUCUACCUAGUAGUGGGGGAUAGCUCGGGGAAACUCGAAUUAAUACCGCAUACGACCUACGGGAGAAAGGGGGCAACUUGUUGCUCUCGCUAUUAGAUGAGCCUAAGUCGGAUUAGCUAGAUGGUGGGGUAAAGGCCUACCAUGGCGACGAUCUGUAGCUGGUCUGAGAGGAUGAUCAGCCACACCGGGACUGAGACACGGCCCGGACUCCUACGGGAGGCAGCAGUGGGGAAUAUUGGACAAUGGGGGCAACCCUGAUCCAGACAGGCCGCGUGUGUGAAGAAGGCCUUUUGGU